rnacentral:rRNA from 1 species
ACGGGUGAGUAACGCGUAAAGAACUUGCCUCACAGAUAGGGACAACAUUUGGAAACGAAUGCUAAUACCUGAUAUUAUGAUUAUAUGGCAUCGUAUAAUUAUGAAAGCUAUAUGCGCUGUGAGAGAGCUUUGCGUCCCAUUAGCUAGUUGGAGAGGUAACGGCUCACCAAGGCGAUGAUGGGUAGCCGGCCUGAGAGGGUGAUCGGCCACAAGGGGACUGAGACACGGCCCUUACUCCUACGGGAGGCAGCAGUGGGGAAUAUUGGACAAUGGACCAAGAGUCUGAUCCAGCAAUUCUGUGUGCACGAUGAAGUUUUUCGGAAUGUAAAGUGCUUUCAGUUGGGAAGAAAAAAAUGACGGUACCAACAGAAGAAGUGACGGCUAAAUACGUGCCAGCAGCCGCGGUAAUACGUAGGUCCCGAGCGUUGUCCGGAUUUAUUGGGCGUAAAGCGAGCGCAGGCGGUUAGAUAAGUCUGAAGUUAAAGGCUGUGGCUUAACCAUAGUACGCUUUGGAAACUGUUUAACUUGAGUGCAAGAGGGGAGAGUGGAAUUCCAUGUGUAGCGGUGAAAUGCGUAGAUAUAUGGAGGAACACCGGUGGCGAAAGCGGCUCUCUGGCUUGUAACUGACGCUGAGGCUCGAAAGCGUGGGGAGCAAACAGGAUUAGAUACCCU